AGCAGCCGCGGUAAUUCCAGCUCCAAUAGCGUAUAUUAAAGUUGUUGCAGUUAAAAGCUCGUAGUUGAAUUUCGGGAUUGACGUGAUGGUCGUGCCUUACGGGGUAUGAACUGUUGCUGUUGAUUUCUCACCUUCUGGAGAAACUUGAUGUCCUUAAUUGGGUGUCUUGCGGAUCCAGGACCUUUACCUUGAAAAAUUAAGAGUGUUUAAAGCAGGCAUUUUGCUCGAAUACAUUAGCAUGGAAUAAUAGAAUAGGACGGCAUGGUUCUAUUUUGUUGGUUUCUAGGAUCACCGUAAUGAUUAAUAGGGAUAGUUGGGGGCAUUAGUAUUCAAUUGUCAGAGGUGAAAUUCUUGGAUUUAUUGAAGACUAACUACUGCGAAAGCAUUUGCCAAGGAUGUUUUCAUUAAUCAAGAACGAAAGUUAGGGGAUACGAAGACGAUCAGAUACCGUCGUAGUCUUAACAUAAACUAUGCCGACUAGGAAUCAGACGAUGUUUAAUUUUUAAUGACUUCGUUUC
rnacentral:misc_RNA from 1 species